rnacentral:tRNA from 1 species
GGGCCUAUAGCUCAGCCGGGAGAGCGCCUGGUUCGCAUUCAGGAGGUCAGGGGUUCGAAUCCCCUUAGGUCCA